rnacentral:lncRNA from 1 species
CUAUCUGAUGCCAUAAGGAAAUCAGACAAGGCUGUGGUGGCCCAGCAGUGUGGCUGUCAGACUCGCCAAUCCCACCCCUCCUUUGACAACACCAAGCCCAAGAUCACACACAGAUAUAAACCCUGCAGUGCCCCAGCCUGGGAGAAGACAGGAGGAGCCAUGGGAGAGGCGCCAGAGAGGAGGCCAGCGGUGGAGCUUGUGUUCAG